CUUGAUGUGUAGGAUAGGUGGGAGGCUUUGAAGUGUGGACGCCAGUCUGCAUGGAGCCGGCCUUGAAAUACCACCCUUUAAUGUUUGAUGUUCUAACGUUGGCCCCUGAUCGGGGUUGCGGACAGUGUCUGGUGGGUAGUUUGACUGGGGCGGUCUCCUCCUAAAGAGUAACGGAGGAGCACGAAGGUUGGCUAAUCCUGGUCGGACAUCAGGAGGUUAGUGCAAUGGCAUAAGCCAGCUUGACUGCGAGCGUGACGGCGCGAGCAGGUGCGAAAGCAGGUCAUAGUGAUCCGGUGGUUCUGAAUGGAAGGGCCAUCGCUCAACGGAUAAAAGGUACUCCGGGGAUAACAGGCUGAUACCGCCCAAGAGUUCAUAUCGACGGCGGUGUUUGGCACCUCGAUGUCGGCUCAUCACAUCCUGGGGCUGAAGUAGGUCCCAAGGGUAUGGCUGUUCGCCAUUUAAAGUGGUACGCGAGCUGGGUUUAGAACGUCGUGAGACAGUUCGGUCCCUAUCUGCCGUGGGCGCUGGAGAACUGAGGGGGGCUGCUCCUAGUACGAGAGGACCGGAGUGGACGCAUCACUGGUGUUCGGGUUGUCAUGCCAAUGGCACUGCCCGGUAGCUAAAUGCGGAAGAGAUAAGUGCUGAAAGCAUCUAAGCACGAAACUUGCCCC
rnacentral:rRNA from 1 species